CGGCCGUACUCCCCCAGGCGGUCGACUUAUCGCGUUAGCUGCGCCACUAAGAUCUCAAGGAUCCCCAACGGCUAGUCGACAUCGUUUACGGCGUGGACUACCAGGGUAUCUAAUCCUGUUUGCUCCCCACGCUUUCGCACCUCAGUGUCAGUAUCAGUCCAGGUGGUCGCCUUCGCCACUGGUGUUCCUUCCUAUAUCUACGCAUUUCACCGCUACACAGAAAAUUCCACCACCCUCUACCGUACUCUAGCUCAGUAGUUUUGGAUGCAGUUCCCAGGUUGAGCCCGGGGAUUUCACAUCCAACUUGCUGAACCACCUACGCGCGCUUUACGCCCAGUAAUUCCGAUUAACGCUUGCACCCUUCGUAUUACCGCGGCUGCUGGCACGAAGUUAGCCGGUGCUUAUUCUGUUGGUAACGUCAAAACAGCAAGGUAUUAACUUACUGCCCUUCCUCCCAACUUAAAGUGCUUUACAAUCCGAAGACCUUCUUCACACACGCGGCAUGGCUGGAUCAGGCUUUCGCCCAUUGUCCAAUAUUCCCCACUGCUGCCUCCCGUAGGAGUCUGGACCGUGUCUCAGUUCCAGUGUGACUGAUCAUCCUCUCAGACCAGUUACGGAUCGUCGCCUUGGUAGGCCUUUACCCCACCAACUAGCUAAUCCGACCUAGGCUCAUCUGAUAGCGUGAGGUCCGAAGAUCCCCCACUUUCUCCCUCAGGACGUAUGCGGUAUUAGCGCCCGUUUCCGGACGUUAUCCCCCACUACCAGGCAGAUUCCUAGGCAUUACUCACCCGUCCGCCGCCGAAUCCAGGAGCAAGCUCCCUUCAUCCGCUCGACUUGCAUGUGUUAGGCCUGCCGCCAGCGUUCAAUCUGAGCCAGGAUCAAACUCUC
rnacentral:rRNA from 1 species